AGAGUUUGAUCCUGGCUCAGGACGAACGCUGGCGGCGUGCCUAACACAUGCAAGUCGAACGGACGAGAGGAGCUUGCUCCUCAAGUUAGUGGCGAACGGGUGAGUAACGCGUGAGCAACCUGCCUUUCAGAGGGGGACAACGGUUGGAAACGACCGCUAAUACCGCAUGAAGCAUCGGGGUCGCAUGGCCUAGAUGUUAAAGAUUUAUCGCUGAAAGAUGGGCUCGCGUCUGAUUAGAUAGUUGGCGGGGUAACGGCCCACCAAGUCGACGAUCAGUAGCCGGACUGAGAGGUUGAACGGCCACAUUGGGACUGAGAUACGGCCCAGACUCGUACGGGAGGCAGCAGUGGGGAAUAUUGGGCAAUGGGGGAAACCCUGACCCAGCAACGCCGCGUGAAGGAAGAAGGCUUUCGGGUUGUAAACUUCUUUUACCAGGGACGAAGGACGUGACGGUACCUGGAGAAAAAGCCACGGCUAACUACGUGCCAGCAGCCGCGGUAAUACGUAGGUGGCAAGCGUUGUCCGGAAUUACUGGGUGUAAAGGGCGUGUAGGCGGAGCGGCAAGUCAGAAGUGAAAUCUCCGGGCUUAACCCGGAAACUGCUUUUGAAACUGUCGCCCUUGAGUAUCGGAGAGGCAGGCGGAAUUCCUAGUGUAGCGGUGAAAUGCGUAGAUAUUAGGAGGAACACCAGUGGCGAAGGCGGCCUGCUGGACGACAACUGACGCUGAGGCGCGAAAGCGUGGGGAGCAAACAGGAUUAGAUACCCUGGUAGUCCACGCCGUAAACGAUGGAUCCUAGGUGUGGGGGGACUGACCCCCUCCGUGCCGCAGUCAACACAAUAAGUAUCCCACCUGGGGAGUACGAUCGCAAGAUUGAAACUCAAAGGAAUUGACGGGGGCCCGCACAAGCAGUGGAGUAUGUGGUUUAAUUCGACGCAACGCGAAGAACCUUACCAGGGCUUGACAUCGACUGAAAGAUGCAGAGAUGUAUCCCUCUCUUCGGAGACAGGAAGACAGGUGGUGCAUGGCUGUCGUCAGCUCGUGUCGUGAGAUGUUGGGUUAAGUCCCGCAACGAGCGCAACCCCUAUCCUAUGUUACCAUCAUUGAGUUGGGGACUCAUAGGAGACUGCCAGGGACAACCUGGAGGAAGGCGGGGAUGACGUCAAGUCAUCAUGCCCCUUAUGUCCUGGGCUACACACGUACUACAAUGGCCGGCAACAGAGGGAAGCGAAGCCGCGAGGCGGAGCGAACCCCAAAAACCCGGUCCCAGUUCGGAUCGCAGGCUGCAACCCGCCUGCGUGAAGUCGGAAUCGCUAGUAAUCGCAGGUCAGCAUACUGCGGUGAAUACGUUCCCGGGCCUUGUACACACCGCCCGUCACACCACGAAAGUUGGUAACACCCGAAGCCGGUGGGGUAACCGUAAGGAGCCAGCCGUCUAAGGUGGGGCCGAUGAUUGGGGUGAAGUCGUAACAAGGUAGCCGUAUCGGAAGGUGCGGCUGGAUCACCUCCUU
rnacentral:rRNA from 1 species